UGGAGACUACAUUCAAGGUAAACGCUGUAUAUGUUGACUCAAUCAGAAAUGACCUUUACUUUUCUGUCAGUCAAUCUGUAACUCUUCAUCAAUACAGACUGAAUAGAGCUCUAAGUAAGUCGCUCUGGAUAAGAGCGUCUGCUAAAUGACUUAAAUGUAAAUGUAAGUAGAGAUAUUAGUGUAUCACCUGUAUGUUUCAGAUGCUGCUGCUGGACCAAGUCAUGUGACCUACGUCCAGAUUCAACUCAAAAAGUUGGACAAGAAAAUGAAAGAAAAGCCAGCUGAUCCAAAAGAAAGUGCAGUCUACUCUGAGGUGAAGACAGGGAAAGCCACAGCAGCUGGACCUGUUGAUGUGACCUAUGCUGAUGUUGACCUCCAAAAGAAGAACAAAGCCAAGAAGAAGAGAG